UGGUCAAUAGCCUAACGGCUGAACCAGCAACUUGGAGGAAUGUAUAGGGAAAACUGGUAAAAUGUGAUGUACCUAGUAAUAUUAGUGAUUAAUACGAGAUUAACUAAGUUAAUUAAAAUUCUAAGUAGAUAUGUGAUUAUGACAAUAUGUGCUUAUGUCUUGACCAAGUCACGUGCCAGCGGUCGCGGUAAUACGUGGAAGAUUAGUGUUAUUCAUCUUUAACAGGUUUAAAGGGUACCUAGACGGUUAAUUAAGCUGUAGAAGGUACUAAUUAACUAGAGUUUAAUGUAAGAAAGAUUGAGUACGGUGAGUGUAGAGAUAAAAUUCAGUCAUACCACUUAGGAACUGGUAAAGGCGAAGGCAACUUUCUAUGUAAAAACUGACGUUGAAGGACGAAGGACCGCAGAGCGUGUGAACCCCGGGCAUCUGGGGAACUUCCCCGGCUAUCUCUCCCCUGGGGCUAUAAACGUGCCACAUAAAGGGGAGAAGAUCGGGGCGUAGUGGGGCAUAGUAUUGCGGCAUAAGAGGCGCAUAAUAUAGCCCCAUAGUACUACCA
rnacentral:rRNA from 1 species